rnacentral:rRNA from 1 species
CCCUUAGAUGUUCUGGGCCGCACGCGCGCUACACUGACGAAUGCAACGAGCUUAUAACCUUGGCCGAAAGGUCUGGGUAAUCUCCAAAUUUCGUCGUGAUGGGGAUAGAUUAUUGCAAUUAUUAAUCUUCAACGAGGAAUGCCUAGUAAGCGCAAGUCAUCAGCUUGCGUUGAUUACGUCCCUGCCCUUUGUACACACCGCCCGUCGCUCCUACCGAUUGAAUGAUCCGAUGAAUAUCAUGGACUGAGAGUGUUAGAGUUUUCGGACUUCUACACUUCUCGGGAAGUGAAGUGAAUCUUAUCAUUUAGAGGAAGGAGAAGUCGUAACA